rnacentral:rRNA from 1 species
AAUCAACGCUGGCGGCGUGCCUAACACAUGCAAGUCGAACGCGAAAGUGGAGCAAUCCAUGAGUAGAGUGGCAAACGGGUGAGUAACGCGUGGGCGACCUACCUCUGAGUGGGGGAUAACCUUCCGAAAGGAGGGCUAAUACCGCAUGACAUCCCGUGUUUGGAUACACGGACAUCAAAGCCGGGGAUCGCAAGACCUGGCGCUUGGAGAGGGGCCCGCGUCCGAUUAGCAGUUGGUGAGGUAACGGCUCACCAAGGCUCCGAUCGGUAUCCGGCCUGAGAGGGCGGACGGACACACUGGAACUGAGACACGGUCCAGACUCCUACGGGAGGCAGCAGUGGGGAAUUGUUCGCAAUGGGCGCAAGCCUGACGACGCAACGCCGCGUGGAGGAUGAAGAC